UCAACAGUCUUUAUCAAGCUCAGAGGAGAAUAAUUUAAUUGUUUAUUUUGAGUCGAUAAAAAUAAAACUAAAACCACCAACUUUGUGGAGCAUAUAUAGUAUUCUAAAGAAAACUUUAAGUGUAAAAGACAAUAUAAAAAUUGAUAAUAGUUGUAACCUAAAAAGUUUGUUACAAAUUAAUUACAAUGGUUAUAAACCGAAGAAAGCAUUUGUGUUAAGAUGGGACCAAAUAGAGAAAUUUAUGAACGACACUCCAAACUUCGAUUAUUUAGCCAUGAAGGUCAUACUUAUAUUUGGUGUCUGUGGCUGUAUGAGGUGUAAUGAGAUAACAAAUAUGAACGUUCAAGAUGUAGAAGAUUUAGGCAGAAAUAGAUAUUUAGUGUCGAUCGUCAAUAAUAAGAACGCGUACCCAGGAUAAUUCAUUAUUGAGAGUCUUUUUUACGAAAGUCUUAAAAAUAUAUUUCUCUGAGACCACCUAAUUACUCCAGCGACAGAGUUUUCAGUAAGUAUGUAAAAGGUAAAUGUGAGCGUCAACCAAUUGGAAGACAUAAAAUAGGUGAAGUGCCAGCGAAUAUUGCGGCUUGUUUACAACUACGAAAUCCAGCAUGCACCCAUAUUUGCAUGUGCGUAAGAACUUUUCGCGGAAGAAGUAGCCAAUUAAUAAAAUGUUUUUGCUUGUUUAAGAAAGAAAUUUUUUUUUUACGAAAAAAAUAAUUAUGUAUAGAUCGAUAGAGAAUAAAAUUCUCAAUCAAUCUUUAUAUAUAAUUGCCACAUUACAAUUCAUUUAUGCGAUGUCUUAAGCGCUUGAAACUUUUCAGGGAAAGGGUAAUGUGCGAUAGUAGAACUAACGCUGUGACGUCAUGGUGUGAACUCAGAAUGUGUCCACUAAAAAUCCAGCAGAUGAUCCUUCUAUAUACAUCUCUAUUUUCUGGUGCAAAGACCUUACUUGAUCACCAUCCUUGAGUACUACUAGCGCUCAUAGCAGAAUAAUUUCUGAUGGAGUCACUUUUUAACCAAAAAAGUAGGGGAAUCGGAUAAGGCUGUCCUAGAGUACUGUAUCUUUCGAAUGGAGGAUUGUAUGUAGAAGACCGAAAGAAUAUGAUUUUUCUGAAAUGUAGUUUUAAUGAUCAGCUGGUACAACCAA